CGCCUAUAUGAAGUCGGAAUUGCUAGUAAUCGCAGAUCAGCAUGCUGCGGUGAAUACGUUCCCGGGCCUUGUACACACCGCCCGUCACACCAUGAGAGUCGAUAACACCCGAAGCCUGUAGUCUAACCAUAAGGAGGACGCAGUCGAAGGUGGGAUUGAUAAUUAGGGUGAAGUCGUAACAAGGUAAC
rnacentral:rRNA from 1 species